rnacentral:rRNA from 1 species
AGUGAACGCUGGCGGUAGGCCUAACACAUGCAAGUCGAACGGCAGCACAGUAAGAGCUUGCUCUUACGGGUGGCGAGUGGCGGACGGGUGAGGAAUACAUCGGAAUCUACUUUUUCGUGGGGGAUAACGUAGGGAAACUUACGCUAAUACCGCAUACGACCUACGGGUGAAAGCAGGGGAUCUUCGGACCUUGCGCGAUUGAAUGAGCCGAUGUCGGAUUAGCUAGUUGGCGGGGUAAAGCCCACCCAGGCGACGAUUCGUAGCUGGUCUGAGAGGAUGAACAGCCACACUGGAACUGAGACACGGUCCAGACUCCUACGGGAGGCAGCAGUGGGGAAUAUUGGACAAUGGGCGCAAGCCUGAUCCAGCCAUACCGCGUGGGUGAAGAAGGCCUUCGGGUUGUAAAGCCCUUUUGUUGGGAAAGAAAAGCAGCAGGUUAAUACCCCGCUGUUCUGACGGGACCCAAAGAAUAAGCACCGGCUAACUUCG